rnacentral:rRNA from 1 species
AUAAUCUACCCAGUAAUCCGGGAUAACAUCUCGAAAGAGAUGCUAAUACCUGAUAAGCCCACGAUCUCUUCGGAGAACGAGGGAAAAGGUGGGGACCUUCGGGCCUGCCGUUGCUGGAUGAGUCCGCGGCCCAUUAGCUAGUUGGUAGGGUAAUGGCCUACCAAAGCUACGAUGGGUAGCUGGUCUGAGAGGAUGAUCAGCCACACUGGAACUGAGACACGGUCCAG